GUACUUACCUGGCAGGGCAGAUACCGUCAAGGAAGAUAUCGUGAUCGGGAAGGUGGUUUCCCCAGGCCGAGGCUUAUCCAUUGCACUCCGAAUGUGCUGAUCCCUGCAGUUUCCCCAAAUGGGGGGAGACUUGACUGCAUAACUUGUGGUAGUGGGGGACUGCGGUCGCACUCUCCCUUG
rnacentral:snRNA from 1 species